GGAUGUGAAGGCAGUAUGGCUGUGACAUGUCAGCCCUUUGAUCAUCCAUGCUGAUGCAGCUGAUCUGGUGGGCUCAACGGGUAACCUCUUUCUCCCUCACAGCUCCAGGUGCAUCCUUCUCAAAGCUACAUGCUGGGGGGGGGGCACCCACCGUCAUAGAGAGGAGGGCUGUUUCUUUGGUCAAAGGUAUAUGAAUA
rnacentral:snRNA from 1 species